UCGGGUGCUUCACAGAGAGCUUUCCAAGGAGCUCAGUACUCAGCAAUUUCACCAUUGCCUCAUCUGAUAACUUGAUUCCAGAGCAAGUUCUGGGCUUGCCUUUGGGAACCGUGUGUGAUGUGAAGCAUGGGAUGAUGCCGUUAGAGUCUACAUACUUCCUGGGUAUGAAAGGAGUAUAUCUUCUUGGAGAGUCACGAUACAGCCUCACUGAGUACCUCCAGCUACCUGAAACUUGCUGUGUAAAUCGGGCUGCCCUUGAAAUCACGAAGAUCUUCCUGCUUCUGCCUUUUGAGGGUGGAACCAUUUGCUGUCUAUCUGGCCACUAAAGGCAUCGGAGACUACCUGGGGAUUCCAGUUUACACUGAAAAGCAUCUGAGACACCCAGCCUCAUGGACUCAGCACACUACUGGACGUUUGGACUUUUCCAUUCACAGUCAACCAUUGCUGAGUUAUCUGGACUGCAGCUUCCUUCAGAUGAUGUAGAACUCAGCUCCUCCUGUACCAUGCCCACCUGGUUGCUGGCAUGUUCCCACCUUCAUGAUAUUGGACUGAAUCUCUGAACCUGUAAGUCAGCCC